AAAGUUGUAACUCUAAAUAAUUAAAGUGUGGUUUUUUUUUAAGGGAGCCCUCGAAGGUGACAUCUUCAUUGGCCCCAAAGCUGAGGAGCACUGGGGACUGCUGUGAGUCUGUUACCUCAUGGAACAUGGCAUCAUCAAGGACUGAAACACAUCUGGCAAUAUGUCUAUUCUAAAGACCAGAUGCAGAGGUUCUCAGAGAAGCAUCCUGUGCUCCUGACUGAGGCACUUUUAAGCCCUCGGAGAAACCUGGAGCGAGCUGCAGAUGCUUUCUUCGAGAUCUUCAGUGUGCCAGCUCUCUUCAUCUCCAUGCAAGCUGUGCUUAGCCUUUAUGCACAGGCAGAACCACAGGCCUGGUGUGGAUUCUGGGAAUGGAGUCAUCGUGCGGUCCUGAUUCACUAUGCCUCACUCCAUCAUGCAUGUUGACAUUGCUGGUUGAGAUGUGUCACACUUCUUCUGCCUCUACCUAUGGAAGGAGGGCUAUGAUUUCCACUCCUCCAUUGAGUUUGAGAUUGUCAAGACCAUAAAGAAAAGAGCUUGCUACCUGUUCAUAGCUCCCAGAAGGAUGAGACACUGGAGACGGAGAAGGCUCAGUACUACCUGCCUGAUGGCAGCAAAGUUGAAAUAGGCCCUUCCAGGUUCCGGGUCCCCGAGCUGCUGUUCAGGCCAGACUUGAUUGGCAAGAAGAGUGAAAGUAUCCAUGAAGUGCUGUGCUGGUGUUUGCUAUCCAGAAGUCCGACAUGGAUUUAAGGUGUACACUUUUUUUCAACAUUGUCCUCUCAGGAGGUUCUACUGUUGGAGCCCCAGGGGCCCAGGUGUAGAGAAUGUAACCCCCAGAAACACAGCUUGAUGACAGAUCACUGUAAUGAUAAGAGGUUUUUAUUCCAGCCAGGAGUGGUGGCCCAUGCCUUUAAUCCCAGCACUUGGGAGGCAGAGGCAGGUGGAUUUCUGAGUUCGAGGCCAGCAUGGUCUACAGAGUGAGUUCCAGGACAGCCAGGGCUAUACAGAGAAACCCUGUCUUGAGAAAAAAAAAAAGAAAAGGAAAGAAAAGCUUUGGAGACUGAGUGAAGUGAAGAAACUAGUUCCAAAAGACAUGAAGAUCAGGAAAUCUGAACCCCAGGAGAAAAUCCUGUAUUCCACAUGUACUGGAGACUCUUAUCUUUGCUUCCUCAACACCUUUAAGAAGAUGUGGGUCUCUAAAGAGGAAUAUGAAGAAGAUGCCCGAUCCAUUCACAGGAAAACCUUCUAAUGUUGCAACAUCACCACCACUGAUGUUAAUUCCACUUUAAAACUCACGUUCUUGAGUUAGAGUGUUUGUGAGGAACUGCACCCCCCUGUAGGUAUGUAUGAGUGUGUGCGACUAUUGAGUGCUGUUUAAAGAAAGAAAACUAAAUUCAAGGCCCUAGUCAGAAGGUUUACAGACCUAGAGCCAUAAAGACAAAGAGAGUCGGGCUGACACAAAGGCUGUAAAGUCAUCCCAGGAACCAACUAGCCAUUAAGAUAAGAGAGGCAUGCAAGAACAAUCUCCAGACAAGCCCAGAUGAGUAAUGGGCCACCUGGCCUGGUCUCCUUCUGAUGUGGUUUGAGUUUAACCAGAUGCUCUGCCAACAAAGAUAAGCACCCUCCCUUUAGAGUUACUGUCCCGACCCGCACAUACUGCUUGCUGAUGUUUAAACUGUCCAAUUGUGUGUAACUGCGCCAAUUUCCCCUAUCCCCCACCACUCCUUUCCUAUAUAAACCCCUAACUUUUGAGCCUUAGGGUCGACUCCUCUCCUGCGUGAGAUAUGUUGUCAACCUGGAGUUCCGUCAUUAAACUGCCUCGUGUGUUUGCAUCAAGACGGUUUCUUGUGAUUGAUUCCUUGGGUGUGCACCAUCUCGGGACUUGAGUGGGAGUCUCCCCACUAGGGUCUUUCAUUUGGAGGUUCCACCAAGAUUUGUGUGACA
rnacentral:lncRNA from 1 species